UACGUAGGGACCAAGCGUUGUUCGGAUUUACUGGGCGUAAAGGGCGCGUAGGCGGCAAUUCAAGUCAGUUGUGAAAUCUCCGAGCUUAACUCGGAACGGUCAACUGAUACUGUUUUGCUAGAGUACAGAAGGGAGCAAUCGGAAUUCUUGGUGUAGCGGUGAAAAUGCGUAGAUAUCAAGAGGAACACCUGAGGUGAAGACGGGUUGCUGGGCUGAUACUGACGCUGAGGCGCGAAAGCUAGGGUAGCAAACGGG
rnacentral:rRNA from 1 species